rnacentral:rRNA from 1 species
CAGUCGAGCGAAGGACGAGAAGCUUGCUUCUCUGAUGUUAGCGGCGGACGGGUGAGUAACACGUGGAUAACCUACCUAUAAGACUGGGAUAACUUCGGGAAACCGGAGCUAAUACCGGAUAAUAUUUUGAACCGCAUGGUUCAAAAGUGAAAGACGGUCUUGCUGUCACUUAUAGAUGGAUCCGCGCUGCAUUAGCUAGUUGGUAAGGUAACGGCUUACCAAGGCAACGAUGCAUAGCCGACCUGAGAGGGUGAUCGGCCACACUGGAACUGAGACACGGUCCAGACUCCUACGGGAGGCAGCAGUAGGGAAUCUUCCGCAAUGGGCGAAAGCCUGACGGAGCAACGCCGCGUGAGUGAUGAAGGUCUUCGGAUCGUAAAACUCUGUUAUUAGGGAAGAACAUAUGUGUAAGUAACUGUGCACAUCUUGACGGUACCUAAUCAGAAAGCCACGGCUAACUACGUGCCAGCAGCCGCGGUAAUACGUAGGUGGCAAGCGUUAUCCGGAAUUAUUGGGCGUAAAGCGCGCGUAGGCGGUUUUUUAAGUCUGAUGUGAAAGCCCACGGCUCAACCGUGGAGGGUCAUUGGAAACUGGAAAACUUGAGUGCAGAAGAGGAAAGUGGAAUUCCAUGUGUAGCGGUGAAAUGCGCAGAGAUAUGGAGGAACACCAGUGGCGAAGGCGACUUUCUGGUCUGUAACUGACGCUGAUGUGCGAAAGCGUGGGGAUCAACAGGAUUAGAUACCUGGUAGU